GCUAUCUAUCAUAUGUUUGAGUACUAAAAUCUGUUGUCCCUUUAAUUUAAAUAAUGUAGCUCAAGGCCCUAAAAUAUGGUGCUGCUCCAGUUUCAGUGGCCUCGGAUGAUAUCAGAUUCAGGCAUUUUCUAGAUAUUGAGACCACUAAAUUUUCACAGUUUAUCAACUCUACCUUCGGAAAUAUGACCCUAAGCCAGGCUUUGAACGAAAUUAAGAACAGCCCAUCUACAUGGAAGCAAAAAAUCAUCGAUGCCAUGUCACGAGACUUCUCGUGGGACGCAGAAUGCUGCAACAUUCAUAUUUCUGCAUACUCAGCCCUAAAGAAUUUGUAAAUCCCCGAACAGGUUUGCAUGUAUAUAUGUAUAUAUCAAUGAAGGCGUCGAUCAUUAGUAUAGCUACAAAUUUUGAGGUUGGCAUAAGUUGUGUCUCCAUGCAUAAGGGGCGGGCAGCAUGGCAUUUAAUUGCCAUUUCAGUAGCUUGAAGGGAAUAAGGUAGAAUAAUAAGUUGCAGGUAUUAAUCCUUCAAUUGUAUAGCCUUUUUAAGUGUAGUAAAUACUAUAUAAUCAUGUACUAUUGCA